rnacentral:rRNA from 1 species
GAAUGGCACCACGAGGGUUAUACUGUCUCCUUUUUUCAAUCAGUGAAACUAAUCUCCCCGUGAAGAAGCAGGGAUAUAUAUAUAAGACGAGAAGACCCUAUGGAGCUUUAAACUAAAUAACAAAUACUAUUUCUCACUUAACUUUCAGAACAUAUACAUCUACCUUAGCAUUAUGAUUAUUAGUUUUAGGUUGGGGUGACCGCGGAGCAAAAACCAACCUCCACAUUGAACGGAACCUAUUCCUGAGCAAAAAGCUACAACUUUAAGCACCAAUAAAUUGACAUCAAUUGACCCAAUAUUUUGAUCAACGAACCAAGUUACCCUAGGGAUAACAGCGCAAUCCACUUCAAGAGCUCCUAUCGACAAGUGG